rnacentral:rRNA from 1 species
UACGAAGGGUGCAAGCGUUACUCGGAAUUACUGGGCGUAAAGCGUGCGUAGGUGGUUUGUUAAGUCUGUUGUGAAAGCCCCGGGCUCAACCUGGGAAUGGCAAUGGAUACUGGCAGGCUAGAGUGCGGUAGAGGGUAGUGGAAUUCCCGGUGUAGCGGUGAAAUGCGUAGGAGAUCGGGAGGAACACCAGUGGCGAAGGCGGCUACCUGGACCAGCACUGACACUGAGGCACGAAAGCGUGGGGAGCAAACAGG